rnacentral:lncRNA from 10 species
AACCCCACCCAGUGGCUGCUGCUGUCUGCGCCCGAGGACCUCAUCUCCUCGCAGAGGCUGGCUCCCCGCGCCCCGCAUCCCACGCUGGGACACGCGUGUGGCCUUGCCAGGGUGGGCGAGACACGGCCGCCUUCCUUCACAUCCAACGCCGGUGAGGCUCAGCACUCAUUGUCUCACUGGCAGCACAGACAAAGCCUUGCGGGCUCCACGGGAUAAUCAACAGCGAGAACGCCCCCAGGGACCUCCGGAAAGAGACACCAUUGGUUGCAGGCCUCCAGGUUCUCGUCUGCCUGGUCAAGAAAGGCACAAAAAGGACCAACAAAUAAUACUGACAUGGUGCUUUGGAUCCAGGAGGCCUUGCGGUACCAGGAGAGGAAUACUGAUGGUUCCAUCUGGCGAAUGGGAAAGAGAGCCAAACUCCUCUGUCCUGCCCUGCAAGCAGUAAAGGCACACACUCCUUGUUAUAUUCCUGGGAGAUGAAAGGAAUACUGUGCCUCCUGACUCUUAUCAUAGGAGUGACUACCUCAUCCUGAUUGGCCCAGGACUGUCCUAAUUUUGGCACUGGAAGUCCCAUGUGCCAGGAAUCCCCUUAGUCCCAGGCAAACUGGGAUGGCUGGCUAUUCUACUCACCACCAACUGGGACUAAUCUAACCCCCAUGCCAUAUUCCAGCACCUAGAUUUAGAGCAGAAUAUUAAGAUUUGUGCUGGAAAUUGGCCAGGUGUGGUGACUCACGCCUGUAAUCCUAGCACUUUGGGAGGCAGAAGCAGGCUGAUCACUGAGGUCAGGAGUUUGAGACCAGCCUGGCUAACGUGGUGAAACCCUGUCUCUACUAAAAAUACAAAAAUUAGCUGGGUGUGGGGGUACGCACCUAUAGUCCCAGCUACUCGGGAGACUGAGACAGGAGAAUCCCCUGAACCUGGGAGGCGGAGGUUGCAGUGAGCUCAGAUCAUGCCACUGCACUCCAGCCUGGGCGACAGAGCAAGACUCCGUCAAAAAAAAAAAAAAAAAAAAGAUUUAUGCUGGAAAUCUGGAAGGACCCAGGAAUAUUAGCUCAAAGAGCCAUCUUAAGUCCUUUUAGAAUAAGGCAGGGUCUGAAUUGAAAAGUGAAAAUAAAAAAUUAGCUCUGGUUUAAAAUUGAUUGUUAGGUGGAAGAAACAAAAAAUCAAUUAUAAAGGCCACAUAUUUGUAUGAUUCUAUUUAUAGAGAGUGCUCAGAAUAGGCAAAUCUAUAGAGACAGAAAGUAGAUUGUUGGUUGCCUAGGGAGGGAGGCAGGGAAGGUGGUAGGGAGGGAGGAAAUGGUAGUGACUGCUGAUGGGUAUGGGAGUUUUUUUUAGGGUCAUGAAAAUGUUCUAAAAUAUUGUACGACUCUGUAAAUAUACUAAAAACCAUUGAAUUGUUCACUCUAAAUGUACAAUUGUACAUGUGCAAAUUUGUACAAUUUGUAAAGUUAUACAAAAUAAAUACAAAUUUAAACUGUGAAUUGCUGGUAUGUGAAUAUCUCAAUAAAG